rnacentral:lncRNA from 1 species
CUUCAUUUAUGAAAGAAAUCUAUAGAGCAGAAAUUUGAGGUCAAAGACGCUAAAAUUGUUUAUAACAUUAAACAUUUCAACAUCGACGGUAAAGGAAUCUGUAAGGUAUUUAUCUUCUCAUUUUAAUUAUUUUGAUUUGGAAAUUUUUUUUGUAUCAAUUUAAAAUGUAGAUUCAAAUAUUUUUCACCUCAAACGAUAAAGUAAAACUUCUUCAAACUUAUAUAUGAUGUACAGUUCGGCGUCCGCAAAAAAGAAGCCAAGGAAAGUGUUUAUCUCUUCUUCACAAAUACGUAUUUCAUUGAAUCUCGAUAUUUAUCAUGUUUAUAAUUUUUCUAACAAUGACGUUCUACCUCCAUAAGCCUGCAAAUGUCAUGGCGGGUCACAUAUUAGGAACCUCAAGAUUUUGUUUUUAAAUGAAACUGAAUUUAACUUUGAACCUUUAGACCUUAAUGUGGACCCAUUUACAAAUUUUUUACAGUCAGCAUAUCAAAACCGUAAUAAAUAUUAUUUUGAUGAAAUCAAACAGUUUUAACUUUGACCCUUUGCACCUCGAUUUGGACCAAUUUUAAAACCGGUCCCGUAUUUCCAUGGUUAAAUUGAAAUUGAUGUUUCAAACAAAACCUGGAGAGCUUUUAUAUAUAUUUUUAAUGUUAUAUUUAACAUUGCCAUUAAAGCGCGAGGUUUGGCAUGCCACAAAACCAGGUUCAACCCACCAUUUUGUUCUUUAAAAAUGUCCUGUACCAAGUCAGGAAUAUGGCCAUUGUUAUAUUAUAGUUCGUUUCUGUGUGUGUUACAUUUUAACGUUGUGUUUCCGUUGUGUCGUUUGUUUUCUCUUAUAUUUGAGUGUGAAUUCACAUUACUAUAAGACGUGUCAUGGUACUUUUCUAUCCCAAAUUCAUGUAUUUGGUUUUGAUGUUAUAUUUGUUAUUCUCAUCGGAUUUUGUCUAAUGCUUAAUCGGUUUCUAGUCUCAGUUUUAGUUUGUUACCCCGAUUUUGUUUUUUGUCUAUCGAUUUACGAGUUUUGAACAGCGGUAUACUACUGUUGCCUUUAUUUAUGUGAACAAUUUACUCUAUCCCAUAGCUCAGUGGGAGAUGAUUUUUUUGAAUAUCGCCCUCCCGUUUGGACCAAUAAAAAAUCGAUAACUCAAGAGACAAUGUAUUCCAUUAACAUCGUGGAUUUAAAUACAAAGGUUUACGUUUGUAUAAAUUGAUUGUUACUUGAUUAAAAAACUAAACUUUUUUGCUUUACUUUUGUUACUUUUGUACAACCGUUAUGUUUUUGGUAAACGACUUCAAAGAUCAUUACUUUUAAAUUUAGUUUAAAAGACAAUUAGGUAAGGAAAUUCCCCCCCCCCUUCCCCAAAAGUGAUUCCCCCCCCCCCCGACAUUGUUUUUCAAUUCAUUUUACAAUUCAAAUGGACAUACUACUGCUUAUAUCAUAAAUCACCCAAAGUGCAUUAUAUAAUUUCAGCUUACAAAAUUAUCAGUUUUUACUGCAAGCAUAUUAAAAUUGGUCGUCUUUCUAAACAUUUAUGUUUAAUUAUAUUUGGAUGUGCACAAAUAUUUGUUUGCUUUUAAUUCAAAAUGUUUCUGAUAAAAGAUUUACAAGCACAUGUAUGGGAGUUUUUUUUUUAAAUUUGACACACUUUUUUAUCUCUAUUGAAUAUAAUCCAUCUUGUGUUUAGGUUGUAAGAUUAACAAUAUUCUUUGUAUAUAUAUAAGUAUGAUUGUUAUGCUUAAUUGAUCGAAGUACUUGUGUUCAAUAUCACACCGACAGUAACAGUUAUGUAGAUGCUGUAUCAAAGACAAUAGUAGAGUGGUGUCAAAUGAUAUGUUUUUUAAACAAAGAAAACUCAAAACAUAGGAAAUAAAGAUUAAUUAAAACAUUUGGCAUAAAUUAUAUACUAGUAAAGUCUGAGAGUCAAGCUCAACAAAGUCGUCUCUGCAAUGAUCGCCUGAUGUUGUUUAUUAUUAAGGUAAUUAUUUUUGCGUCCUAUUAAUUAUUAUCAGAAAGAGGGUUAAUAUACAGCAAGGAAAAAACAGUCCAUUAUAUAAAGAAAAGUCUAGCAUUAGUGUAUAAUGUUACUUUGUUGCGACAUCUGCAAGUAACAUUUAAUUGGUGCUGUAUCUUAUCGUUAAUGGGAAUUAUAAAUUUAACGUUGAUUUUGUCGUGAAAAAAACGUCUAUGAAUUCCAAUUAAACUUUUUUUAUGUUACCCGUAAAAUGAAAUUGAUAUAAAUUUUAUGAUCUUGCAACAUAGUUGAAAAUUGGAGAUUUAUGGAUACAAUACACAAUGUACAUGUACUAAUGUCAGGCGCGGAUCAUGGGGGCGAGGUCCGAGAGUUAGAAUCCCCCUUUUUUUUGGACGAUCAAUGCAUUUGAAUGGGGACAUGUAGUUAGAACUCCCCCUUUGACCUUGGUUAGGACCCCCCUUUUUAAAAUGGCCGGAUUUGCCCCUGAAUGCAUAUCUUCAAUUAUGAAAUAUGCAACUCUACAAAGACCAGGAUUUGGAUUGGAUUGCAUUAAACUUUCAGAAAUCUUUAAUAUCUUGAUUACUAUGUCAUGUUGCCUUUGCAUUGUGAACCUAUUUUUUCUUAAUAUGGCAGAGUUGAGAACAAGUGAAAUACAUACAUUGUUUUUACUGUAUUUUUAUACGCCCGUCAAAAGUUUGACAGGACGUAUUAUGGUAUACAAAUGUUCGGUGUCCGUCUGUCUGUCUGUCUGUCCGUCUGUCCGUCUGUCUGUCCGGCGUAAACAUGUCGCACCGUAACUUGAGAACGACUUAUCUAAAUUUCAUGAAACUUAAUAUAGUUGUUUUUUAUGAUGGUCAAAUGAUCUGUAUACUUUUUGGUGAAAAUAAGAUUUAAACUUUUUGAGUCACGGCACUUUGUAACUAAAACAGGGAUGUGUUUUUUUUUCACAUGUCGCACCGUAUCUCAAAAACGAUUCUUGAUUAUUGCUUAAAACUUUACACACUUCUUAGUUAUAUUAAUCUUAAUAUCUGUAUACUUUUUGGUGAUGAUUCAAAAUUUCAUUUCUGAGUUAUUGAGUAUUUUGUAAAAAGGGGGAGGUUUUUUUUUCAUGUCACCGUAUCUCAAAAACGAUUUAUGAUUAUUGCUUAAAACUUUACACACUUCUUUGUUAUAUUGAUCUAAAGAUCUGUAUACUUUAUGGUGAUGACUCAAAAUUUUAUUUUAGUUAUUGAGUAUUUUGUAAAAAAUGGGAGGUUUUUUUUACAUGUCGCGCCGUAUCUCAAAAACAAUUGAUGAUUAUUGCUUGAAACUGUAUACACUUCUUUGCUAUAUUAAUCUAAAGAUCUGUAUACUUUUUGGUUUGAUUCUAAAUUUUAUUUUAGUGAUAUUUGUAAAAAAAAACAGGGUUUCUGGGGGGGGGGGGGGGGUUUCACAUGUCCCGCCGUGUCUCAAAAACAGUAAAUGGUUAUUGCUUAAACUUUCUCAGAAACUAUUGAUGAUUAUUGCAUAAGACUUUCACACAAGACAUCGGGCGUAUCAUGCGCUCAUGGCGCAGCUGUUUAUUGUUUGUUAUAUAUCAAAGUGGACAUCACUGAUCACUAUAUUACUCUUUAUAAUUACGGUUGCCAGACUCACUUUUAGGAAUCUUGGAAUUGCAUUUGUAUUUCACUUUUUUUCCUCAUCUUAAUUAAGCCAAUAUAUAUACAAAAAAUUGUUUUGGGAAACACAUGGAAAAGGUAUGAACACAUAUAUAUAUAUACUAGUUCAGUGAUAAUGAAAGUCAUACUAAACUCCAUAUUCUAUAUUAAAUUUUGUUUGUUUAACUGAAUUUAAAAAAUCUUAUUAAUACAUGGAAUAUUUAUUACAAUCUGUUUUAAAGUACCUUCCACCAAUCAUCCAGUGUCAUUUAAAGUUACUAGAGCAGUAAUUUAAAUUAUUAAGAAAGUGAUACAUUGUACAGAUGGUAAUUAACGAAUAGAAAAUAUUUUUUAAAAGAUAUUCUUAUAUCAAACGACUUAGUUGACAUAACAAAUAGAUAACUGUUAGAAGAUUGUGCCACUUUUGUUCUCUUGUUCACAUUUUUUAAAGCCUUUUUUUUCAACUGCACUAAUCCUUUUGAUUUCUAUACACACAUUAUGUAAAAGUACAUUAGAUUACAACUAGGCUGAAAAAGUUCGAUUUCAUUGAUAUGAAACUUUGACCAUUAUAUAUAUAUAGCAUUUGUAACUCUAUUUCAUAUAUGUAUAAGGUGAAUCAAUGUGCUUGUAACUUUGGAUAGAGUCUCAUGAAAUGGUAAAAAUCACUGUAUCCUGGUACACAUGUACACAGGGUUGUCAAUAAAUGCAAACUUAAAAUUAGCAGACCUUAAAAUACUAAUACAUCCAUGACAUAUUACAACAACACUUUAAAGAGUCAAAUUUAUUUUUGAAAACUUGGAUCAGAUAAAUAUAGAAAAAUAGAUUUACUUUUUAUCAAAUCUAUUCAUAACUGCUGACUCUCUACUUACGUAAAACAAAAUUUAACAGUUUCAACUUUUGACGCAACAUGCUUGUUGAGUAUUAAGGCGUUUAUAAAUAUGACAUUUGAUUCCUAUGAUUUUUAUUCCUACAAUUAUUUUAAACAUGAUCAUACAAUAUGGCAAGCCAAAGUGGACAAAAAGAGCUAUUUUUUAAUGUUAAAAAAUCAUUUUCUAAUAUUAAAAUAUCAGUUUCUAAUAUUAGAAAAACUUUUCUUAUAUUAAAAAUACAUUUUCUAAUAUUAAAAAAUAAGAUACUUUUUAAUAUUAGAAAAGGUUUUUUUAAUAUUAGAAAAUCAUUUCCUAAGAUUAAAAAAUCAUUUCCUAAUAUUAGAAAAUCAUUUUUUAUUAUUAAUAAAUAGUGUUUUUCUUUUUUAAUAUUAGAAAAUCAUUUUUUAAUAUUAGAAAAUCAAUUUUUAAUAUUAGAAAAUCAUUUUUUGAUAUUAAAAAAUGAUUUUUUAAUAUAAAAAAUGAUUUUCUAAUAUGUGACUAGCCACGACAUAUCAAGGCUUAUGGAGGUAGAACGUCAUUGUGAGAAAAACGCCGUUAACUAUAUGUGACUAGCCAUUUCCAGGCUUAGGAGGGUACAUUGUCUAAAAUUUGAUUUUUGUAUAUUUAUCUAGAAUAUUCCGAAACAAAACUCUCUGUCAUGUUAUUAUGAUAUAUGUGUUGUUAUAGCAAUGAAACGAGUCAUUUCGAAUACCGGUAUGAAAAUGGGACUGUUCUAUAACGACUUUUAUUAAUUGAAUGCCCUUAUUUAUAAAACACAAAAUUAUUGUAUUUAUUGGCUUUUAAUGAUGUUCAAUAGCGUAUUUGAAUAAAAUUUUAAAGACUUAAAUUUACUACAAUGCAAGCUCUAUUUUAGAACAUGUAAUUUAAACUUGUUGAAAUGAAGUUAGAAUAACAUCUGUCAAAGUAAGCAUUACGAAUUCCUUUUUUCAAUUUAGAUUUAUUAUGCAUGUCUUUAUACAUAGUAUGCGACGCGUAACAGUUUAUAAGUAGGUGUUAUCUUAAAUGCAUUUGAUACGGUGCAUUAAUUAUGGAUAUAUUCAGACUUCAUUUAUGAAAGGAAAUCUAUAGGGCAGAAAUUUAAUUUUUUUGUAUCAAUUUAAAAUGUAGAUUCAAAUAUUUUUCACUUCAAACAAUAAAGUAAAACUUCUUCAAAACUUAUAGAUGGUGUAUAGUUCGGCGUCCGCAAAAUGAAGUCAAGGAAAGUGUUUAUCUCUUCUUCACAAAUACGUAUUUCAUUGAAUCUCGAUAUUUAUCAUGUUUAUAAUUUUUCUAACAAUUACGUUCUACCUCCAUAAGCAUGCAAAUGUCAUGCGGGUCACAUAUUAGUAAAUGAUUUUCUAAUAUAAAAAAAAUCAUUUUCUAAUAUUAAAAAGUAUCUAACUAUCACUGUAUCACCCUCUGCAUGAUUCUUAGGUGGAGCCAUACUUAAUUAAAGUACUUGUAAUAGACACGCCGAAUAUAUCUCAGUUUGAACUUACGUUGUAACUUGAAUAUUUGUUUUCAAAUCAUUGAGUUAGAAAUUUACAUCGUGUUUUCGAAAUUCUGGAUUCCCUGUUAUGAACAUCUAAACGAAUGACCCUGAUAACGAAAAACAACCGGAUGACGACAAUCAAUGUGCAGUGUGCACUGUACGACAAAUAGUGAUGACAUUUCCUUUGAUAAUAUUCUGGCUUUCAAACCGGCCAUACCAAAGUUUGAAAUCAACGAUCAUGGAAGUAAAACGAAACUCUCGUGUUACAAACAAAACAAGAGGAGUAUUAUGAUGCAAAUGAAUAACAAAGUGAAAGUGAAAUUGACAAGUCGGUGACUUAUGCUACAUAGGUCUAUUUGACAUACGAGGACAUGUUAAAACGUGGUUAAAUUCUUUUUUUUUUUAAUUCUAGAAACAACCAGUUUCUAAAUAUUUUGCAACCAAUCAAUAUGAAGAUUUAAAAAAACGAUCCAACGAAGUUAGUACGUUAUUGCGUUUUGUAUUUUAAUUUAUCGCUCUAUACAUUGUUUUGUAAUAUAUAAUCUGACAGACCUUUUACAUGCAAUAUAUCGGACGUCACAAGUCAUUUACUUCCGGUCACAACGGAAACCUGAAUAAACCGACUCACUGUCCAAAUCGGCCGUUUUUUAUAGUCCCGUGGCCGGUCGGUUUAUACAGGUUUUACUGUAUAUUGAUUUGUUAUGUGUGUACACAAUAUUUGUCGUAUGUAUAUAUGGAGUUAUGAUGUAUAAAGAGAGAGCAAAAAAACUAUAACUAAUGUACACGACGUUUUAUUACACUUCUGCAGAUAAAUUGUGAUUAAAGAUGCCAUGAAUAAUGAGUACAUUUACUGUCUUUAUGUGGACUAUUAUCUAAAAAAACAUAUAAAAUAUAUAAAACAGUGCGUUUGCGCUCCGUUACACUCUUAUUAUAAGCCAAGAUUGAUACCAUGACGUAGCAGCCUGAGUACAUAGAUUGACUAUCCCCAAGAUGAUAAAACCAUGCAACAUUUAUUAAAUGCUAAAAUCUCAAUUUCACAAGGGCGAACAAUGUUGAACCAUAUAGUUCCUUCCCAUUGAUGUUACGUUGUCAAAAAGUAUUUGAGUAAUUUUGGUAUCAAAUAAAAGCUUAAGAACUUGGGAUAGCUGUUGAACCAUUUUUAAAAGUUUGCUAUGAAUGAUAAAAAAAUUAAUUGGAUGAUAAGAGGAUAUAUCAGCCUUGUUACUUAGAUCAGAAGUACCUAUUUUGUACUACCCAAUUUUUCUGGAACCAGUGAGCUGUUAUAUGCAAUAAAGGCAUGUUGGUUUGUUUAGCACAAGUCACGAUGCAGUUGUCAAUGUAUAUUGCAUAUGUUACUACCUGUUCAAUUUGAGCUUAAAUUCAUUGACAUAGUGUGUGGAUUAAAGCUUCAAGUGUUUUCUUAAAUAGUAAUAGAUCAUAGAAUAAAAUUAAGUAAAGUAGGAGUCUAUAUAGCAAGUUUGGUGCUGUAUUACUAAACAUUAUGUGCAAUUCCAUUCUUAAAACUAUUACAAUGAAAAUUUGUCACACACAAUUUAAUCAUUUCACAUCAUUUUUUUCAGUAACAAAUCCUUUAUGUUGACCCAAAGGUGUCAUAUCUAAAAUAUGUGUGUUAUUUAUGUGAAAGUAAAUGUCCCUUCUUAAUGCCGGUAGUCGUGAAGCUGUUCCCGAUGUUGUAGCCGUACUGUUACUGUGUGCUCUUGUCGAGAGCUAUUUGCAUUGCACAUAAGAAAUUAUCAAAAAGAAAAAAAUCUAAUUUUACGUCAACUGAUUUAGGACCUUUUUACGUUUUCCACGUUACGACUGGAAGACAAUAACAAUCAAAACCAAGGAGUAAACAAAGACUCAUCAAACCAAAAGACAUUUACAUCAACAGUUACAACUAAUAAAUAAGAAACAACACGAACUCCACUGAAAACCGGGAGUUAAAUCAGGUGCUCAGGAAGAGUAAGCAUUUCCUCCACCGAGUACGGCACCCGUCGUGUUAUUUCUUUUUUCAGUUCGUACGUUAUGAUGGAAGGUCAUUAUGACUGAGGAAGAAUAUCAGAUAUGAUUUCUGACACACUUUUGUCAUUUUUUGGAAAUUAUUAUAAUAUGGUAAAUUUUUAUACCCGUGUUAGUUUUUCUGUAAGGUAGUGGGGUAGGGUGUUCGGCCCCAACUUUGCACUUUCUUUGAAAAAAAAAAACUAAGCCGAAGAACAUCCUGGAUUUCUUCUGCAGUAUACCUCAGCUACCAAGCUUCCAUUUGCACCUAGUGUAGACACAAAUACUGCCGUAGAACAUUUUUUAUUAACUUUUUUGUAUUAAGACUGUAAGGUAAGAAGACUGUCCGACUCAAUCUUAGAACCUAUUUAAAAAAAAACAAGAAAAUAAGCCGUAGAACACACUGUGUUUUUUCAAAAGUAGACCACAGCUACCCAGAGUUCCUUUGCGCCUAUUGUGGACAAUGAUUUGACAUAGAACAUUUUUUUAUUUUUUGUUCACUAAGAUAGUGGGGUAGGGUGUCCGGCCCAAACUUUGCACUUUCUUUGAAAAAAAAACUAAGACGAAGAACACCCUGGAUUUCUUCUCCAAUAUACCUCAGCUACAAAGUUUCCAUUUGCACCUAGUGCAGACACAAAUACUGCCGUAGAACAUUUUUUAUUAACUUUUCUGUGAGGAGGACUUUAUGGGUAGAAGACUGUCCGACUUUAUCUUUAAACCUUCUUAAAAUACAAUAAACUAAGCCGUAGAUUACACUGAGUUUUUUCACAAGUAGACCACAGCUACCCAGCGUUCCUUUGCGCCUAUUGUGGAGAAUGAUUUGAUAUAGAACAUUUUUCCAUUAAUUUUUCUGUAAUGUAGUAGGGUAGGGUGUCCGGCCCACACUUUGUUUGUUUGUUGACAAUGUUUAAGUACAAUUAUUAUUUAGAUUCAUCCAAACCUAUCUAAAUAUGUUAUUGUAAAUAGUUUAAGCAUAUCACACUGCGUCUCGGAAUGAUUGAACUAUAACAUAAUGUUGAUCACCAUGUCUAGUUGGCAUCUGACUUUGGAAUUAAAAACAUGGCUGCCAUUGCCAGAAACAGCAAAGUUGAAAAUUCAAUGGAACAUUCCAGAACAUUAGUGUUAAAUUAAUUCUACAGCCCUUAAAUGUUAUAUGAUGGUAUAAUAUUAUCGGGAGCACAAUAUGAAGCAGCAGUAUGACUUUGGAAUUUUCAAAUGUUGCCAUGGAAACUGUUCAAAAAUAGCAAAAUUUUGAAAAUUCUUCAAAAAUGUAUGAAACGUUAUAAGAAUGUUAACUUGUAAUUCUAGAUGCGGCAUUCAACUUUGAAAUUUCCAAAAUGGCUGCCGUUACCAUUGCUGCUGUUUAGUGGAAAUUGGUGGACCAGGGUGACAUCCGCUAUUGCUUGCAAUGGCAAUUCUAGUCUUAUUUUUCUUUUUCUUCUUCCACACAUUUUGUCCGUCGUGUUUCUAUCCAAAUGACAUUGUUGAUGGAACUUUACAUAAGAGGACCCCCAUGUUAAAGUUGUGCACCUUGGUAUGGAAGGUAAAAGAUGGCCGCCGUUUCCAUGGAAACAGCAUAAAUGCGAAAAAAAUCAAAGUUUCCAAACUGAAGAAACUCCACAGGAAUGUUAUGGCAUUGCUGAUUUCCAGUUUGACUUUGGAAUUUUCAAAUGGCUGCCGUUACCAUGGAAACAGCUAAAAUCAAAAAUUCUAACUUUUCGUUAUAAGAUCAACUGGAUGAAACUUUAUGAAAAUGUUCUCCAGUAUGCCAAGAUGUCAAGACAAUAUUUGGAUAGUUCAAAAUGGACGCCGUUGUCAUGGAAACUGGGGCCAAGUUUUGCAUUGACCCUAUGGAAAAAUGCAUAAAUCAGCAUUUUCCAGAGAGUAUUGCACCAAAGUAAAUGAAACUGUAUUGAUAUAUAACAUGACAUGUGGCAGUGAGAUGUACGCUUUUAGAAUUUUGGAAUUAUCUACUGUAACCAUGGUUGCAGCACAAAUGUUCAAAAUUUCAAAAAAAAAUAAAGUGCUGCAAGCUGGAUGAAACUUAACAGGAAUAGUGACUGACAUGUGCGGAGUUGCAUUUUGAAGUUGGAAAUUUCAAAAUGGCCGCCGUAACCAUGGAAACAGCAAAAAUAUCAAAAAUUUCAAAAUGCUUCAAACUUAAUGAAACUUUGCAAAAAUGCUAUAGACAUAAAUGCAUUUUCGAUUUGGAAUUUUCAAAUGCUGCCGCUCACCUGGCAAUGUAUUCAGUUUGCUCCGAUCUCGUACGUCAAUCUAAUUGUGCGUUUAUUUAUGGGAACGGCAAAUAAUGCCUUCACCUAUCUAGAGCGUUUCGAUCCAAAAACAAGUGCCGUAUUUGUCCUACUAGAAUCGGAAUAAUUCAUGGGGCUUGAAUAUAUCGUGAUUUUACCAUGGGUUGUCCCUUUAUGCCGAUAUUUUACCCCUCGCUAUCGCUCAGGGUAAAAUAUUUGUUAUAAAGGGCCAGCCCGUGGUAAAAUCCCCGAUGUGCUUGAGGACAGGAUCCUGUGAUAAACAUUAAAAAAAUCUGAGAUUUAUGAUAAUAAGGGGAGUGAUAUUUGUUCUGCACUUGCAGCCAGGUCCAGAUCGCCGUGUACAGUGAUCAGACUACAAGUACAGAAUCACUUAAAUGGCAAUUCUAACAUGACGUCCUUCAAACGCUUUGAGUAAAAAUAUAGGGUUAUUGCAUGAAUAUUGGGGAAUAUUGUCCCGAGAAGAACUUUAUAUUGCACAAGCUCAGGAAUGAUUUCACUAGUGAUUUUGAACAAAUAAUUAUUACACUUGAUGAAGUGUUUUAUUUAGUAUACUCACUUUUAACACAUGAUAACACAAUAUAAUAUACUUUAUUUACGAAUUUUAAAAUUUUGAUAUUUUUUUCUAAUCAAAUCGUAUGCUUUUAAAUUGUCACUAAUUGUUAUAUUCAUAUUUACUGGAUUGCCGAAGUUUUUCUGUGCAUUUGUGUUUUGGUACACUUCGAUAUAAAAUCUUCUUUAUUGAGGGCACAUGACGUUUGCGAUGUUUUACCUGUAAAACGAUAGUACAUUUUGUGCUUCAAAUACUAUGGACAUUUGCGCUUUAAAUUUUGAUUCACCUGUACUAAAUUGACCGGACAUUUGCGCUUUUGCACCUAUAGUCGUCUACCUGUAAUUUUAAUGAGAAGAAAUUAUUACGUAAAUAAUUUAACUUAUAUUUGUCAUUAGUACGACAAAUGGUCCAGAACCCUUCCCUGCCCACUAUAAUGGACAUCCUACUCGACUAAUCCUGCUAUUUUUUCUUUUCUUUUUGAAUAGUAUCAUUAAACAACAGUGUGUGAAUUACAUUAGAUUCGUUAUAUUGAUGAACAGGCACCCCUGUCAAGAUUUUAGAAAGAGAAACUUGAAUAUAUAUUUGAAAUGUGGGCGAAAUAUCAGUCAGAACAGAUAACAAGAGAUAAAUUUGUUCACUCCUUGGGCUUCAGAUGUCAAGCGAAAACUGACCUGUGGUGACUGAAUGGGUUUUUAUGUCUUUAGAAUUUUUACUUGUCGCUCAGUGUAUGAAGACUUUUAAACAGAUAUCAAUGUGCUAUGACAUGAAUGCUCUAUGAAAUGUGCUUUUAAAUGAUUUUUUUCAAACUUUUAACCAUAAAGAAACAAUAUUAAUUUAACUUUGCCAAGUCACACAUGCCGGUCCCCACCCGGAUUAAAGAGGAGGAUAGUCAUAAAAACCAAAUAUUGCAAAAGCGAAAUGUCUGAUGUUAAAAGCGCUAAUGUCCUUUUGUUAACAGCGAAAAUGUCCUAUGAUUUGAAGCGCAAGUGUUCAAAAAAUUAAUAUAGGCGCAAAUGUCCUAUGAAAAAGCGCAAACGUCCCGCGCCGAUGUCAAUAUCUAUUAAUCAAACUGGUUCCUUGAAAACUAUUUUACUUUUAAUCUAUUAAUUUAUGUAAACAAGAAAACUGGUCUUAUAUAAGGGAAUGGUCAUUAUUUAUCAGCUGAGGGGGUCGGUUCAAAUUUUAAUAUAAAAUUUUAUGUUGGGAACCCCCCCCCAUUAUUUUAUAAAACCACACUAUGACCCCCCCCCUAAGAACAUAAUUUCAAAAGUUUGACCCCCCUCCAAAAAAAAGAUCUCCAGUUGUGUUAAGGUUAUGAUUACCAGCUACAUAGUAACAGGCUUUGAGAAACUCUGAGUAUAACAAACAGCUUUUCUUCUUGUUUCUUGUUUCUCAAAAAGGAAUAUUUGACACGUGCAUGUAGAAAAAUAGAAAAAAAAUAUACAGAAAAUUGUAUGUUCCAAUUUAUUAAUUUAUUUUGCUGCAACCUAUAAUUCUACAAAUUUUAUCAGUAUACCAGUAGAUAAACUUUCAAUACUGACUGUUAUUUUAAUCCCAAUCACAGGCCCUUGUAUCUUAUUUUUUUUAACCUUUGUGCCUUAAAAUAUCUAGUUAUGAAUGGGGGCGGGGGGUCAGGAUUCCAAUGUACAAUGAUUUAGGAAGUGCAAAUAAAAUAACACUGAUUAUAUGGUUCUUGUCCUUUCUUGAUUAAAUAUGUACAUGAUUUAUUUGAGAUAAAGAAAUAUACAAACAAGCCAGGAAUCUCUGGCCUUUCUUUGUUUUGUACAGAUGUAUUUUUUAAGAGUUAAGUGUGUUAUCAAUUUUCUCUGAACAAGUACACAUUUUUGUUUAGGGGCCUAAGCUGAAUAUAUUUGUUCUUUUUUCCAAAUCAUAUAGUGUUUUUGUUUAGUGUGUGUGAAUGCCAUGGUGCCCAUCAAGUAUUUUUUUUAGUAAGAUCUGAAAUUUGGAUAGGAAAGAAUAUCGGAGAAUGGGUAAAAUUUACAGAAAAAUGGACCAAAAAAAAAAAAAAAAACAGAGGACACUGGUGUUCAAAUAUAAAGAAAAGGAGAAAAGAGCAAAAAAUACGUAAGAAUAGAGAAAUAUUACCUUAAAAAUUAAAGAAUACAGAAGGGAAAUACCUUAUAUCGAGAUCAUCUUUUAUUCUUAUUCAAUAUCUUUGUAAUAAUUUCAUAAAAUAAGUAUACCUAUUUUUGUAACCACGUGACAGACAUAUAACUAACAUAUGCAUCCUUGCUUUCAUCAAAAUAAUUAAAUAUACACACCCAUUUCAUCUCAAGAAUCACAUCAAAAUGAUUUAAACACUAUCAUGACUAUAGAAAGUUAAUUGUGCAUGUCCAGAAACCUUGAAGUUUAUAACUCACUAUUUCCUGUGGUCAAAACUAGGGAGAAAUGUUUCAUACAGUUUUUAAUCUAUUGAUUGUAAAUUUACACAACUGUGAUAAGGAGUGAUACGAUGCUUUUUGUCUGCAAUUUGCUUUUUGUCCGCUUUUGCUUUUUGUCCGAUAAUUUUGCUUUUUGUCCGACACUUUUGCUUUUUGUCCGUUGCUUUUUGUCCGUUUUGCUUUUUGUCCGAUAAUUUUGCUUUUUGUCCGACACUUUUGCUUUUUGUCCGUUGCUUUUUUGUCCGUUUUGCUUUUUGUCCGAUAAUUUUGCUUUUUGUCCGACACUUUUGCUUUUUGUGCGUUGCUUUUGGUCCGUUUUGUUUUUUGUCCGGUAACGUUGCUUUAUGUCCGAUAUAAAAAACGUGUAUAUUUUGGCAGGUUUUAUUUUGAACAUCGAAAUAUCAUUAUUAGGGUAUUUUAUUAAAAAAAAUAUGUCUACCAACCAAUUAACGCGUGCAAGAUGGCCAACAUGACUGAAAUAGAACAUACGGGGUAAAAUUAAAGUUUUGUCUAUUAAUUUGAAAACCACUAUAAAAGAGAGAAAAUCUGACAACAGAAGGAUGUUGAGCUCUUCCAAUUGUUAAAACUUUCAGAUGACGUCCAAAAUUGGUUCGCCCCACCUAAUGUUAUGAAACCUAAACGCAAUGCUUAUUACCACAUAUCCCAGAUCAAGUUUGAAUUUUGAUACGUCAUAUUUACUGCUCUAGAGUUUGAAAAUGGAAAAACUGCUAAACUUUUUAUUUCCGUUCUUUAACUGCAGUGUGCCUUUAAACAAUGGUAUAAAGCUUAUAUAUAUAUGCAAUAAGUAAACCACAACACACAGGUCAAGUAUGAAAUUUGGUGGCCUCACUUUUCCUCUUAUGCCCUAUAUAAAUGGGGAAAAUAUUGACGUUUGUGUUUCUUAACUUUAUAUAAAAAAGAAGAUGUGAUAUGAUUGCCAAUGAGACACCUCUCCACAUGAGACUGAAUAACACAGAAAUUCACUACAAUAGGUCACCGUACGGCCUUUAACAAUGAGCAAAACCCAUAACGCAAAGUCAGCUUUAAAGGGUCUCGAUAUGACAAUGUAAAACAAUUCAAAAGAGAAAACAAACGGCCUCAAGCACAUUUUAUGAAACUUCUACACAAUGCUUAUUACAACAGAAGUUAGAUCAAGUACAAAUGUGGGUAGUGUCACUUUUGUCGUUAUCAAGCUAUGUCCCUUUCUGAAGUUAUAUCAAGUGGGUGCAUUAUCUGUACACCAUGGACUCAUUUCCCAUUUUAAUAAAGGAUUAAUUGCCCUAAAAUGACAAUCUUUUUUGCCUACUAUCUUGAAAAUUAUAAUAGACACCGAAAAACUUUAUAGUGACCAGCAAGACCAGUUCUACAAAUGAGACAACAUGAUCGAAAUCGUUAAUCGACUCCUGAUUACAGAUAAUGUUCAUUGAUGAUGAUUUUGACCAUAUUUUUUUUUUGGGAGGGGGGGGGGGCGUUUCUUUGCCUUAUAUCUUAAGUCUUCAACAAAGAAAAUAUGACGGCGACUACUUAAAUUGAAGUUAUUGUCCUUUAAAUGUAGUGUCUUGCGCAUUCAUGGAUUGUAAUACAAAAAAAAACCUUAGGUCUAAUUUUAAUCAUUUACAGAAAUGCAGAUUACUAAUGUGAAUUUUCAUUUAAAAGAACAUUUUUUUUUAGAAUUGAAUUGAUAAAUAUUAACAUUUUUACAAGUGUAGAUUUUAUUUGUUUGAUUUUUAAUGUUUUUAAGUUGGCAUUUUUAAGGGAGAUAGUGCAUUUUAUGAAAGAAUCUGCAUGAACUUUUGCUAUCUUUAGGUCUAAUUUUAAUCAUUUACAGAAAUGCAGAUUACUAAUGUGAAUUUUCAUUUAAAAGAACAUUUUUUUUUAGAAUUGAAUUGAUAAAUAUUAACAGUUUAAAAUUUAGAAGGAAAAAACGCACGGUGACCCUAUUGUAUCCAUUGAUAUUCUCAAAGCAUUUUUUUAAAGCUAUCUUCUUGAAUUUUGUUUUCAAUUUUAUAUUCUAUAAUUUAGAUUAGCUUCUGAUCACAGAAUGCUGUUUUCCCCCGUAUAAUCUAUACAAAUUUCGCGCUUAAGUAAGUCCAUUAUUAAUUUUGCAUUAUUCAAAAUUAAAUUAUGAAUAAUGAAAAAGUUCAUUAUUCACUAUUCAACGUUACGUGAUAAAUAAUGAAUAAUGAAAUAGUUUAUAUCUCAGUAUUCAAGUUGAAAAUCAAAGUGAAUAAUGAAAUAGAAUAAUAUUUUUUGACUGUGACACUAUAUCCCGUAUUUCAUAAUUCUUCAUUUUCGUAUAAUCUAACAAAUUUUCAAAUUAAGUUAUAGUUAUUGACCAAGCAAGUCGGUAUAUAGAAUUUAAUCUGCACAGCUCAGGUGACCCUUAUUAACCCGAACGACGUAGAAGUUCGGGUUAAAGGGUCAUCCUGAGCGCGUGCAGAUUAAAUUCUAUAUACCGAUUUGAUUGGCCAAUAACUGUUUUAACACAUGACGUCAUUAAUUUACGUGAACGUUUUAGAUGUGGACGAUGUUCCGCAAUCCACGGAUCCUAGGAAAGUUUAUUGUAGGGUAAAGAAAGGGGGAAAUACGACUUUCAUUGGUAAGUUUCAAAUUGAUAAUUUUUUUUGGGGUUUAGACUUAUUGAAAAAUUGCGAUUUAAUGGUAGAUUUUUUGUUAAUGUUUCUGUUAAAUCUAUUCCCAUUUUUAUUUAAUAAGUGACGUUUAAGACUUUGACAAAUUGAGUACUUUCAAAUCGUUGUAUGAAAAAAAAAUCAUAACCGGAAGGGUUAUUGUGUUUAGAUUAAUUGCUUUUGAAUUUCUUUCCAUCAAUGAUAUGCUUUAAUAGAGAAAGAUAAACCGAGGAAGAAGUUAGUUAUAUUACCUAAAUUUUUAAUGUUGAAUAAACGGAAAAUACGUUUCUCUUUCCAAUGUUUUACUCCCCCUUCCCCAAAUUUCUUUGUAUCUACUGUAUUAGUUUUUAAGACACGUCCAUCUAAAUGAAGUCUGAUUGAUCUCCAGCUAAUCUCCCUGUUUUCAAACAAACUUAAAUAUGAUCCCCUUUAAAUUCGAUCCAAAAAUAUGGGGAAUAGAUAUUCAAAAAGUCGUUAUAAAUUCCAUUGAGUCUAAAACUAAUCCAAAUCAAAUUUCUUUUUUUCGGAUAUUCUUAGAUACAUUUCUUUUUUGGCGGAAAUUACCAAAAAUGUUUUAAACUAUCUUUCUGACUUUAAAACACUGAUUUAAGAUUUAUGUUGUACGCAAAAUAUAAUAAAACAUUUUAUGUUCAAGCUAAGAUGUAAAAAAAAGAAUGAGAAACCUUUCUUUUUUCCUAUUUUGAAACUACGAUGUUUGUACAAAGUUCAACUGUGUCGUAAUUUCAAGGCAGAUGGCGGAUUCGGGGUGGGGACGGACAUGUCGUUGACCCUAGGAUUGGACAAAGUAUCGUGUUUUGCCUUAAAAUCGUCAAUAUUGUUUUUAGUCUCGCUACACGCGGUGAUCAUUUUUUUAAUUUGAUAGAAUAGCGCCCCUUUCAAAAUCUAGGAACCGCCCCUAAAGGUAAAAAUAGAUUUGAACUGUGUAGUAUAUCUGAGGUAGUUAAUGCACACAUUUGCUGUGCAUUAUCCAGAUUAUAGCACAGUAAAAACAAAGAGAUUUUACCCAUGUCAUGUGUUAAUGUAUAAUUUUGUAAGAAAAAAAUCAAAACACUAUGUGAUAUAAUGAUCUUAAUUUAUUUAUUUAGUUUCGAAGGAUGAACUUGUUGGUUUUCCUAACUAUUUUUAACAGAAAUUCCUUGGUUUAAUGUAUGGGCCACCUGAAUACCAAAACAUAAAUAAAUAUUAGAAUACUAAACAUUGUCUUUUUUAUUUUUCAAGAUCUUUGCUAUUCUUAGUCCUCUGAUCACAGAUAUAACAUGUCGAUUGUGGCGCAAUGACCAUUAGAGGGUGGACUUUUUAUUAGGGGAGGACUUAAGUGCCAAAAUACGCGUGAAGAUUAAGAAAUAGCCAAUUUUGAAUAAUGAAAUGGAUAUUUUGAAUAAUGGAAUGGACUACUGCGACCUUUCAGCCCCUAAUAACAUAUAAACCUUAUACCUCAUUCGAAAGAUUAUUGUAUUGCUACCUUAUACGUCAAUCAAAAGCGUACCAACAAAGAAACAAGAGGUUUAUAACAUAUAGCUAUACAAAGAGGAAUAAAAUGGUUACAAACAGUAUAUUCCGCAUUGACCAUUAGAGGGAUUACGGAGGACUUAUAUGCCAAAAUACGCGUGAACAAUAAGAAAUAGCUUAUUUUGAAUAAUACAAUGGACUGCUGGUACUCGUCAGCCUCUAAAUACAGAAAACUUAAGGAUGUACUUAGGUGAUGUUUUGGAAUUUGUGUCAAAUGUUCGGACUCCUUAGUGUUUUUCCAUAAAAUACAAUGUAAAAUAUUUUGCCCCA